UCCUACGGGAGNUUCUUAAUNGCGAAAGGGUGAGUAACACGUGGGCAAUCUGCCCUUCACUCUGGGACAAGCCCUGGAAACGGGGUCUAAUACCGGAUACGACCUCCGACCGCAUGGUCUGGUGGUGGAAAGCUCCGGCGGUGAAGGAUGAGCCCGCGGCCUAUCAGCUUGUUGGUGGGGUGAUGGCCUACCAAGGCGACGACGGGUAGCCGGCCUGAGAGGGCGACCGGCCACACUGGGACUGAGACACGGCCCAGACUCCUACGGGAGGCAGCAGUGGGGAAUAUUGCACAAUGGGCGAAAGCCUGAUGCAGCGACGCCGCGUGAGGGAUGACGGCCUUCGGGUUGUAAACCUCUUUCAGCAGGGAAGAAGCGAGAGUGACGGUACCUGCAGAAGAAGCGCCGGCUAACUACGUGCCAGCAGCCGCGGUAAUACGUAGGGCGCAAGCGUUGUCCGGAAUUAUUGGGCGUAAAGAGCUCGUAGGCGGCUUGUCACGUCGGAUGUGAAAGCCCGGGGCUUAACCCCGGGUCUGCAUUCGAUACGGGCAGGCUAGAGUUCGGUAGGGGAGAUCGGAAUUCCUGGUGUAGCGGUGAAAUGCGCAGAUAUCANGANNAANACCGGUGGCGAANGCGGAUCUCUGGGNCGNUACUGACGCUGAGGANCNAAGCGUGGGGAGCGAACAGGAUNANAUACCUNNG
rnacentral:rRNA from 1 species